UGCGUAGGCGGAUUAAUAAGUCAGUGGUGAAAAUCUGCAGCUUAACUGUAGAACUGCCAUUGAUACUGUUAGUCUUGAGUACGGUCAAGGUAGGCGGAAUGUGUAAUGUAGCGGUGAAAUGCUUAGAUAUUACACAGAACACCGAUUGCGAAGGCAGCUUACUGGACCAUUACUGACGCUGAGGCACGAAAGCGUGGGGAGCGAACAGGAUUAGAUACCCUGGUAGUCC
rnacentral:rRNA from 1 species